AAUUUCAACAGUCACCAAGUUCAGCACUGCAGCCUGAACCCAUCAGGUAUCUGCUGUGAGGACUGCAUUCAUGAACGGCUCUACUGUGACAGCUCAGAUGUUACGGUCCAUAAAAGUAAACUUCACAACUGAUCAACUGCGAGAUAGUUAUGGAGGGAUUCUUUUGGCCCAUACCUCCAACAACCUCCAACAGGAGUCAAUGGACAUCUACACCAGGUGGUGUGUGAGGAGGACCGUCAGAGACUCCAGUCACCCAAGCCAUGGACUGCUCUUACCGUUACCAUCAGGCAGAUGUUAUUGCAGAACCUACACCAGCAGACUGCAAGACAAAUUCUUUCCACGGGCAAUCAGACUGAACUGAACUCGUACUAGUAACACACAGCACAUCAACCUCGUAUGUACUGCACUCUAUCAUUUACACUGACUGGACUCUGACUCACUAUUAUUCUGUAUCCUGACAUUCUGUUUGCACUAAUUCAUACUGUAGUGCACUGCAAUGGUAUAUGUGUACUGUAAUUAUUGUGUUUAUUACUGUUUUCAUUUCAUGCUCUCUGUAUAGUAUAAUAUUUACCGUAUGUUGUUCUUUAGCUGUAUUGAGUCCCUUAUAUAUGUGUGUUGCAUAUAUAUAUAUAUAUAUAUAUAUAUAUAUAUAUAUAUAUAUAUAUAUAUAUAUAUAUAUAUAUAUAUAUAUAUAUAUAUAUAUUUAAUACUUGUCAUCCAUACUGUCAUGCUGCAGUUUGCACAAAAGACUUUCACCACCUGUACACUUACGUUCAUAAUAUUGUUGUAAAUAAAGUGAUUUGAUUUGAA